AUUGAACGCUGGCGGCAGGCCUAACACAUGCAAGUCGAACGAGUGGCGGACGGGUGAGUAAUGUCUGGGAAACUGCCCGAUGGAGGGGGAUAACUACUGGAAACGGUAGCUAAUACCGAAUACCCUCGGAUGUGCCCAGAUGGGAUUAGGUAGUAGGUGGGGUAACGGAUCACCUAGGCGACGAUCCCUCGCCGGUCUAAGAGGAUGACCAGCCACACUGGAACUGAGACACGGGCCAGACGCCUGCGUGAGGCAGCAGUGGGGAAUAUUGCACAAUGGGCGCAAGCCUGAUGCAGCCAUGCCGCGUGUAUGAAGAAGGCCUUCGGGUUGUAAAGUACUUUCAGCGAGGAGGCGUUACUCGCAGAAGAAGCAUCGGCUAACUCCGUGCCAGCAGCCGCGGUAAUUC
rnacentral:rRNA from 1 species